CUUCGUGAUUUCAUCGAAUCGAUGAAUUUUUGAAAGAAGGUUAUGUCGACGAUUGAUAGUUCUUCUGUCCACCAAUUCGGAGGUGAACGACUAGGAAAAUUGGCUUCGUCACAAGCCUGCAAAAUAACAAUGAUUCAACCGAUUUUUUCAGUCUAAUUCUGUCCGAUUCAACUCUUCUGGAUUCGCAUUUUCGAGGAAGAAGAUUUUCACAUGAUUUUAAAACAUUAAUGGCGCCGGAGAAACUCUUUAAGGCUACUUCGGCGAGGAAGCCAUAUGUCCGGCUGGCAAGGUUGCCGUGGCAGUAGUCAUCAGUCAUUUGAAGGUACUCUGCAGCACAGUGGAGAGCUGCGACAUUAUUUACAGUGAUUUCAAAAUUAACACCAUAGCAAAACCUUGCUACUUUCUCAAAGAUCUCAGCUCCUCCAGGGAUAUCGGAGAGAUCUAUCCUCCCCAAAUCAGAUUUUGUUUCAGUUUUUGGAUUCUGAUUCAGAACAUAUAGAGGAUCAGGAUGUUGUAAGGAAGCAGCAGGUGAAGGCAGUAACAACACUUGUGUAUGGUGGUUAACCCAAAAAAAUACAUUGCCUCCAAGCCAUUCACCAGGUCAACAAUAGAGUACGUUAAGGUAAUUUUUUUAGUCAUCCUAAAACUACAUUGAUGUGUCUGUAAACAAAUAAAUAGGAUAUGAAACAUAUAAAAUUACAUAAAUGCAUUAUUUAACCUCUUUUCCAGAUCAUCUACCAAACACAAUGUUUGAAAGUGAAGACCAUAAAAACCCAUGCUACCAAACACAAUGUUUGAAUAGUGAACACCAUAAAAACCCACACCAUCAAACACAAUGUCUAAUUACGAUCAUAACUCAAAAAGGAGUCUUUAAUUAAGAAAGAGAUUAGGGAAAAUAAACCAAGAACUAUAAAUGUAUGAAUAGUGAACAUCAUGAAAACCAAUACUGUCAAGGAAAAUAAACCAAGAACUAUCAAUGUCUAAAUAGUGAACACCAUGAAAACCAAUAUUGUCAAAGACAAUCCAAAAAAAAAAAAAAAAAAAAAAAAAAAAACAAAUUCAAGAAUAUUGUUGAUUCAAAAAGGACAAUCUGAAAUCAUUUUUCAAGUUUUGGUAUCAAGAGACCUGUGUUGCCAUCCACCUUGGAAUUCAAUCGAGGUACUUUGGUGGAUGAAUUCACAUUAUCAUACUCAUCAACAUCAAUGGAAUCUCCAACGUUUCGUUUUUUCUUUUUUUACCAUUGGUGGCGAAUUAAACUUGAAAGGGCUUGUAGCUUCAAAUUUGUCAGGAUGGGAAAGGGUCAAAUUAUCACCGGUUUGUGAGAUCGCAUCCUUAAAUCGAAAACAUGAAAUAGCUUUAGUAAUAAAUUAAAAAAAAAUAACUUUUUAAAAAAGAUUUAUAUAAAAUUAAGUAAUGUAGAUUUACAAUAUAACCUUUAAUGACUUCAUUUCGUGAGAUGCGAUUUCUGUAUCAUCAACAUUUGCAGAAUUACCUACCUGUUUCAGAAGUUUUAAUAUUUAUAUAAUUUGUGGUAUUAAGUUUUUGUUCCAUGGAGAUUUACAAUUAAUUACUGAAGAUCAUUAUAUAAAAGUACGCAUCAUAAAAAGUAAUAGUAUAACCAAAUAAAAUAAUUAUAUAAAUACCUCAACUGCUAACUUUUUUUCCAAAGCAUUGAUAAUGUUAUUAUCAAGCGUAUAGUCAAGUAUCCCAAACCGAUUGUAGUUAUUGGAGACGUUAAAAUAUUGACAUCUACUUUGAAUGCCAUCUUUUUGUGCUCAAAGCAUUUAAGGUCAUAAGGAUGCAAUCUUGGAUUAUCCACAGCCUGGAAAAAUGUGUUAUAUGAUAUUGUUAUGGUUAAAAACACAUUAAUAUAAAAAAGUCCAACAAAUAAUAGCAAUUAAUAAAACAAAUAUUAUAAUUAUGUUAUACCUGUUUAAUUUUCUCUAUGAGAUCACUUGCGCGUUUUUUGACGAGUUUAUAAGCAUCUUUAUCAAACAAAUUUAGUGUGAUUGUUCCAGAAUCAUCCUGGACACGACUAUGUAUCUUAUACCUAUAAAAAAUUCUCACAUAAAUAAAUAUUAAAUAUGUUUAAUGUUUAAUAAUGUAUUUAAGUUGCCGAUUUGCAAUAUUUUUAAAUGUAAACAACCUUGGAACAGAAGAUAUUUGCUUAUCUAUACACUUAUCAUUAUAGCAAUCAUAAACCACAUUUGCAUCACCACUUUCUGGACUGCUGAACAUAUUCUUUGCAUUAACUUUCUUUCCACAGUUUGUACACACAUCGUAGUACCAAUUAAUAUCCUAUCGAAUUCCAUAAAUGGUUCCAACAAUGAUAAAUUUCCCGACCUAAAAGAAUGUAGAAUAGAAAAAGAUCAUUAAAAUCAAUACAAUUAUAAUAUUUAUCAAUUAGAAAAUAAAUACUAUUAAAAUGACUAAAUUAUUCACAUACCUCUUGUGGUUCUAGCAAAUCGACAACAUUUUUAACAUUGUGUUUCUUCAAAAAGUCAUCAUAUUCAAAAUAUGAUUGAGAGGUAUCAACAGUCAAAGAAGAAGGGUUUUGAAGUCCUCGUAGACUAACCAAGCUGUUUUUUAUUUAUUAAAGAGAUUAAUAAUAAAAUUACUAAAAUAAAAAAAAAAGCAAUGAAUCAUUAAAAAAGUUUGUUACCUAUCUCUGAAGGUAACAAUAUCGGGAAGAUCAACAUUUAUGAGCAUCCGAGUGUGGUCAAAAUGACUGUUAACAGAAGGUAGUCCUAACGAAACAAAAUAAAAGACUCAAAAGAAUGAUUAAUAUAAAAGCCUAAAAUAAGGUUGAUUUAUAUAAAAAAAAAAGUACCGUUAUAGACAUUAAUUUUGCAAACUGCAAUAGAACAAUCACACAACCAACUUGUUUAUGAGCUUCAACAUAAGAAAUUAAUUGGUAUGCAAUAUCUCCAAACAAUGUCACGUUAACCUGCAAACCUCUGCAAAAAUAAUAAUGGCUAAAUGAGUAUAUAAUACAAACAUAACACAUGCAAAGUUUAAAGUAAUGAAUAUAAUAUAAUAAUAUAAGAAAUAAUAUAAGAAAAGUGAUGGUUACUCUAAGUUUCGGAUUUGUAAAGGUAGCCUAUGUCUGGAUUUGUUGACAUCACGUGAAUCAAGCAUUCCUAAUGAAACAACUUCACCAAUAACAUCUAAAUGAAGAUAAUACAAUAUGUCAAAAUGAUGUAAACUUAAAGAAUUAAAUAUAAUAUACAAUGGAGAAGAGAGGAAAAAUUACCAAUUGACUCAUUAGAGGUAGUUGAUGUAGAGAUAAUUCUUUCAAACGAAACAACAGAAAAUCCGUAUGUUGUUUUGGAUUGAAAGUGUAGACACUUAUUCAUAGUUGUUCUUCCAUGCAAGUUUAACUUGUUCUUUACAUCACUUAUUUUAAAAGUGUAUCUGUUAGGAGCGAUAGUAGGGGAUCAGAUGUAAACAACUUGAUGUUCUUUCAGUUUUGAUUCAAACCUUUGAAAAUCUCUUGUAUAGACACUUGCUCGGAUUUUAGUACACUAUGCACAUAGGUUACGAAUAUUAUAUUGAUGGAUGAGAUGGUAAAAUCUGAAAUUCAAAAAACAUUAUUCAAAAUCAUUUUUAACCAAUUUCUAUUAAUUUAAAUACAACUAUUUAACAUUAUAUAAUAUUCUUAACCUAUGUGUAUAGUGUACUAAAAUCCGAGCAAGUGUCUAUUCAAGAGAUUUUCAAAGGUUUGAAUCAAAACUGAAAGAAGAUCAAUCUUUUUACAUCCGAUCCCCUACUAUCGCUCCUAACAGAUACACUUUUAAAAUAAGUGAUGUAAAGGACAAGUUAAACUUGCAUGGGAGAACAGCUAUGAAUAAGUGUCUACACUUUCAAUCCAAAACAACAUACGAAUUUUCUUGUGCUUCGUUUGAAAGAAUUAUCUCUGCAUCAACUACCUCUAAUGAGUCAAUUGGUAAUUUUUCCUCUCUUCUCCAUUGUAUAUUAUAUUUAAUUCUUUAAGUUUACAUCAUUUUGUCAUAUUGUAUUAUCUUCAUCUAGAUGUUAUUGAUGAAGUUGUUUCAUUAGGAAUGCUUGAUUCAUGUGAUGUCAACAAAUCCAGACAUAGGCUACCUUUACAAAUCCGAAACAUAGAGUAACCAUCACUUUUCUUAUAUUAUUUCUUAUAUUAUUAUAUUAUAUUCAUUACUUUAAACUUUGCAUGUGUUAUGUUUGUAUUAUAUAUUCAUUUAGCCAUUAUUAUUUUUGCAGAGGUUUGCAGGUUAACGUGACAUUGUUUGGAGAUAUUGCAUACCAAUUAAUUUCUUAUGUUGAAGCUCAUAAACAAGUUGGUUGUGUGAUUGUUCUAUUGUAGUUUGCAAAAUUAAUGUCUAUAACGGUACAUUUUUUAUAAAAAUCAACCUUAUUUUAGGCUUUUAUAUUAAUCAUUCUUUUGAGUCUUUUAUUUUGUUUCGUUAGGACUACCUUCUGUUAACAGUCAUUUUGACCACACUCGGAUGCUCAUAAAUGUUGAUCUUCCCGAUAUUGUUACCUUCAGAGAUAGGUAACAAACUUUUUUAAUGAUUCAUUGUUUUUUUGUUUAUUUUAAUAAUUUUAUUAAUUUUAUUAUUAAUCUUUUUAAUAAAAAAAAAACAGCUUGGUUAGUCUACGAGGACUUCAAAACCCUUCUUCUUCUUUGACUGUUGAUACCUCUCAAUCAUAUUCUAAAUAUGAUGACUUUUUGAAGAAACACAAUGUUAAAAAUAUUGUCGAUUUGCUAGAACCACAAGAGGUGUGUGAAUAAUUUUGUCAUUUUAAUAGUAUUUAUUUUCUAAUUGAUGAAUAUUAUAAUUGUAUUGAUUUUAAUGAUCUUUUUGUAUUCUACAUUCUUUUAGGUCAGGAAAUUCAUCAUUGUUGGAACCAUUUGUGGAAUUCGACAGGAUAUUGAUUGGUACUACGAUGCGUGUACAAACUGUGGAAAGAAAGUUGAUGCAAGGAAUGUGUUCAGCGGUCUAGAGAGUGGUGAUGCAAAUGUGGUUUAUAAUUGCUAUAAUGAUAAGUGUAUAGACAAGCAAAUAUCUUAUGUUCCAAGGUUGUUUACAUUUAAAAAUAUUGCAAAUCGGCAACUUAAAUACAUUAUUAAAUAUUAAACAUAUUUAACAUUUAUUUAUGUGAGAAAUUUUUAUAGGUAUAAAGAUACCUAUUCGUGUCCACGAUGAUUCCGGAACAAUCACACUAACUUUGUUUGAUAGAGAUGCUUAUAAACUCGUCAAAAAAACGCGCAAGUGAUCUCAUAGCGAAAAUUAAACAGGUAUAACAUAAUUAUAAUAUUUGUUUUAUUAAUUGUUUUUGUUUGUUCGAUUUUUUUUAUAUUAAUGUGUUUUUAGCCAUAACAAUGUUAUAUAACACAUUUUUCUAGGUUGGGGAUAAUCCAAGAUUGUAUCCUUAUGACCUUAAACGUUUGGAGCAUAAAACGUUGGCAUUCAAAGUAGAUGUCAAUAUUUUUAACAUCUCCAAUAACUACAUUCAGUUUGGGAUAAUUGGCUAUACGCUUGAUAAUAACAUUAUCAAUGCUUUGGGAAAAAAAAUUAGCAGUUGAGGUAUUUAUAUAAUUAUUUUAUUUGUUUAUACUAUUACUUUUUAUGAUGCAUACUUUUAUAUAAUGAUCUUCAGUAAUUAUUUGUAAAUCUCCAUGGAAAAAAAAAACUUAAUUCCACAAAUUAUAUAAAUAUUAAAACUUCUGAAACAGGUAGGUAAUUCUGCAAAUGUUGAUGAUACAGAAAUCGCAUCUCACGAAACGAAGUCAUUAAAGGUUAUAUUAUUAAUCUACAUUACUUAAUUUUAUAUAAAUCUUUUUUAAAAAGUUAUUUUUUUAAAAAAAAUUUUUUACUAAAGAUAUUUCAUGUUUCUGAUUUAAGGAUGCGAUCUCACAAACCGGUGAUAAUUUGACGCCUUCUUAUCUUGACAAAAUUGAAGCUACAAGUCCUUUCAAGUAUAAUUUGCCACCAAUGGUAAAAAAACGAAACGUUGGAGAUUCCAUUGAUGUUGAUGAGUAUGAUAAUGUGAAUUCGUCCACCAAAGUACCUCGAUUGAAUUCCAAGGUGGAUGGCAACACAGGUCUCUUGAUACCAAAGCUUGAAAAAUGAUUUCGGAUUGUCCUUUUUGAAUCAAGAAUAUUCUUGAAUUUGUUUUUUUUGGAUUGUCUUUGACAGUAUUGAUUUUCAUGGUGUUCACUAUUCAGAAAUUGAUAGUUCUUGGUUUAUUUUCCCUGCUAAUCUCUUUCUUAAGUAAAGACUCCUUUUUGAGUUAUGAUUAUAAUUAGACAUUGUGUUUGAUGGUAUGUGUUUUUAUGGUGUUCACUAUUCAGACAUUGUGUUUGGUAGUAUGGGUUUUUAUGGUGUUCACUUUCAAACAUUGUGUUUGGUAGAUGAUCUGGAAAACAGCUUAAAUAAUGCAUUUAUGUAAUUUUAUAUGUUUCAUAUCCUAUUUAUUUGUUUACAGUCACAUCAAUGUAGUUUUAAGAUGACUACAAAAAUUACCUUAGCGCCCUCUGUUGACCUGGUGAAUGGCAUAGAGGCAAUGUAUUUUUUUGGGUUAACCACUAUACACAAGUGUUGUUACUGCUUUCACCUGCUGCUUCCCUACAACAUCCUGAUCCUGAUAAACCAUAAUAAUAAAAGGUUACAAGAAAAUUGAAAAAACAUACAAUAUUUGAUGAGUACAUGUACAAA